UACGUAGGGCGCAAGCGUUGUCCGGAAUUAUUGGGCGUAAAGAGCGUGUAGGCGGCCAGGCAGGUCUGGUGUGAAAACUCGAGGCUUAACCUCGAGAUGUCAUCGGAAACCAUUUGGCUAGAGUCCGGAAGAGGAGAGUGGAAUUCCUGGUGUAGCGGUGAAAUGCGUAGAUAUCGGGAGGAACACCUGUGGCGAAAGCGGCUCACUGGACAGCAACUGACGCUGAUGCACGAAAGCUAGGGGAGCAAACAGG
rnacentral:rRNA from 1 species